GACGAACCGUGCGAACGUUAUUCGGAAUCACUGGGCUUAAAGGGCGCGUAGGCGGGCCGCCCGGUCCGGGGUGAAAGCCUCCAGCUCAACUGGAGAAGUGCCUUGGAUACCGGCGGCCUCGAGGGAGGCAGGGGCGUGCGGAACUUCGGGUGGAGCGGUGAAAUGCGUAGAUAUCAGGAGGAACACCGAUGGCGAAGGCAGGUCUCUGGGCUGACACUGACGCUCAUGCACGAAAGCGUGGGGAGCAAACAGG
rnacentral:rRNA from 1 species